rnacentral:rRNA from 1 species
UAGGGAAUCUUCCACAAUGGGCGAAGCNGAUGGAGCAACACCGCGUGAGUGAAGAAGGGUUUCGGCUCGUAAAGCUCUGUUGUUAAAGAAGAACACGUAUGAGAGUAACUGUUCAUACGUUGACGGUAUUUAACCAGAAAGUCACGGCUAACUACGUGCCAG